AAUCCCUCGUACGGUACCCUUCUAAACACAGCCUCGUACACUCGUACCUACAGCCCACGAACCAAACACACUCGUACCUUUAAGGAAUUGCGAACAAUCGAACAAUAAAAGAGUGAACAAAAACACAACAGCAUCUCCCUUCUCCUCAUUUCUGCUGCUGCUCGAUCCCUCCCUGGUUUUUCCUUAAGGUUGUGGUUUUUCUCCUUAAACUCUACAACAACCAGGAUGUCAGACCGUUUGACACGUAUUGCAAUAGUGAGCUCAGAUCGGUGCAAGCCUAAAAAGUGCCGUCAGGAGUGCAAAAAGAGCUGUCCCGUGGUUAAGACAGGGAAAUUAUGUGUUGAGGUUACACCAUUAACAAAACUUGCUUUCAUCUCGGAGGAACUGUGCAUUGGAUGCGGUAUUUGUGUCAAGAAAUGCCCUUUUGAAGCAAUUCAGAUCAUUAAUCUUCCAAAAGAUUUGAGCAAGGAUACAACACAUCGUUAUGGGCCCAACACUUUCAAAUUACAUAGGCUACCUGUCCCAAGACCAGGACAAGUUCUUGGCUUAGUGGGAACAAACGGCAUUGGGAAAUCAACUGCUCUCAAAGUUUUGGCUGGAAAAUUGAAGCCCAAUUUGGGGAGGUUCAAUAACCCACCUGACUGGCAAGAGAUCUUAACAUACUUCCGUGGAUCAGAACUGCAAAAUUAUUUUACUCGCAUAUUGGAAGAUAAUCUAAAGGCCAACAUCAAGCCCCAGUAUGUGGAUAACAUUCCAAAGGCAGUACAGGGAAAUGUUGGAGAGGUCUUAGAUAAAAAAGAUGAGAGAGACAUGAAGCUUGUACUUUGUGAAGAUCUGGAGCUUAAUAAAGUUCUAGAUCGCAAAGUGGGUGAUCUAUCUGGUGGUGAACUGCAGAGGUUUGCCAUUGCAGUUGUGGCUAUGCAGAGUGGGGAGAUAUAUAUGUUUGACGAACCUUCUAGUUAUUUGGAUGUGAAACAGAGACUCAAAGCAGCACGGGUUAUUAGAUCAUUGCUGAGCCCCAAAAGCUAUGUUAUUGUCGUGGAGCAUGAUCUUAGUGUUUUAGACUAUCUUUCAGACUUCAUUUGCUGCUUGUAUGGUAAACCGGGUGCAUAUGGAGUUGUGACCCUUCCAUUCUCUGUUAGAGAAGGAAUCAAUAUAUUCUUAGCAGGGUUUGUACCCACAGAAAAUCUCCGUUUCCGAGAUGUAUCUCUUACUUUCAAGGUUGCUGAGACUCCUCAAGAUAAUGCUGAGGAGAUUGAGACAUAUGCUCGGUACAAAUAUCCAACAAUGUCAAAAGUUCUGGGUAAUUUUAGAAUGCGUGUCGUGGAGGGUGAAUUUACAGAUUCACAGAUUAUUGUGAUGUUGGGAGAAAAUGGAACUGGAAAGACAACAUUUAUUCGUAUGCUGGCUGGUUUACUAAAGCCUGAUAACGUGGAAACUGGGGAUGUGGAAAUACCUGAAUUUAACGUCUCUUACAAGCCCCAGAAAAUCAGUCCAAAAUUCCUGGGCUCUGUUAGGGCUCUUUUACAUCAGAAGAUAAGGGAUUCAUACACUCAUCCUCAAUUCAACUCAGAUGUCAUGAAACCUCUUCAGAUUGAGCAGUUAAUGGAUCAAGAAGUUGUGAAUCUAUCUGGUGGAGAGUUGCAGAGAGUUGCUUUAACUUUGUGUCUGGGAAAGCCUGCAGAUAUUUAUUUGAUAGAUGAACCAAGUGCAUAUCUGGACUCUGAGCAACGUAUUGUGGCUUCAAAGGUGAUAAAGAGAUUUAUACUCCACGCCAAGAAGACUGCAUUUGUUGUUGAACAUGAUUUUAUAAUGGCAACAUACUUAGCAGAUAGAGUAGUUGUUUAUGAGGGGAUACCAUCGGUGGAUUGUACUGCUAAUUCUCCCCAAUCGUUGUUGAACGGAAUGAAUCUUUUCUUAUCGCAUCUGGAUAUCACAUUUAGAAGGGACCCCACUAAUUAUCGCCCAAGAAUUAACAAGCUGGAGUCCGCGAAGGACAGGGAGCAGAAAUCGGCAGGAACUUAUUAUUACCUGGAUGAUUGAUGGGGUUUUCAUUUUUCACCAAGGAGUUCGACCUUUUGGACAUGUUCCAGCAUUGGUUUUGACUCUGGAAAAAAGGGACCCAACCAAUCUUCACCCAAGGAUUGAGAAACUGGACUCCAUGAAAGACAAGGGGCAGAAAUCUUACAACAAUUUUUCCUGGAUUGUCAUGAGUUAAUGGAAUUGGAUGCUGGCUAUUGUUUCUUCAAGAGUAGAAGACUGAAUGUUGGGAAGAGAUUGUUUGAGGGUGUCAUUUUUUGUUUUGUGCUGGUAUACUGAUUCCUGUUCUUGCGACCUUUGUACUAAUAUUCUCUGAAGCAGGAGGUUUGCUUAUGCUGUACGUUUUGACUAAUUUUGCGCCUAGUUUGCGCAGGAGAUUUGCUUAUGCUGCUGCGUGUUUGUGGUUCAGUGUUGCUGUUUGUGUGGAUUCAGAAUUAGAAUGUUUGGCAGUAUUUGUUCCAGUAGAGUGGUGGUUCUAGGUAGUGUUCAUGGUGAAGGAGAGAUUGUUUGGUAUUGGGUUGUUUUUCUUGCUGUUCCCUUUAACUCUUUACUACUAGUACCCUCUUAUACUAAAUGUAUACUUAGUUCAGUCA